CGAACAAUACAUGAGUUGACCCCAAAACCAUAGGCUACAACGACCGUGGGAAACACCGCUAUCAGGCAUAUUGGGCAAUUCCAAGGAUUUUAUCAAGAAAAGCAGGAAACCAUGCAAGAUACCAAAACCUCAUAGACCAUCUCUAGAAACCAUGAGUUGAGCCUUGAACUUAGAAGACCAAAAGAAUGCAUAUGGAGUUCAUAUCAAGCAGAAGAAGUAGAAGACCUCCUCUGCCUAGAUGAGAAAGAGGAAGUUACUAACUUGGCAAAAAGCAAAGAGACAUAGGCUCCCAAAGAAAAAGGGAAAAUGCAUAGAAAAGUUUCCAUAGUUUCAG
rnacentral:misc_RNA from 1 species